rnacentral:rRNA from 1 species
CAGGAGCGCUGCAUUAACAUGCAGUCGACGGCAGCAUGAUCUAGCUUGCUAGAUUGAUGGCGAGUGGCGAACGGGUGAGUAAUACAUCGGAACGUGCCCUGUAGUGGGGGAUAACUAGUCGAAAGAUUAGCUAAUACCGCAUACGACCUGAGGGUGAAAGUGGGGGACCGCAAGGCCUCAUGCUAUAGGAGCGGCCGAUGUCUGAUUAGCUAGUUGGUGAGGUAAAGGCUCACCAAGGCGACGAUCAGUAGCUGGUCUGAGAGGACGAUCAGCCACACUGGGACUGAGACACGGCCCAGACUCCUACGGGAGGCAGCAGUGGGGAAUUUUGGACAAUGGGCGAAAGCCUGAUCCAGCAAUGCCGCGUGUGUGAAGAAGGCCUUCGGGUUGUAAAGCACUUUUGUCCGGAAAGAAAUGGCUCUGGUUAAUACCUGGGGUCGAUGACGGUACCGGAAGAAUAAGGACCGGCUAACUACGUGCCAGCAGCCGCGGUAAUACGUAGGGUCCAAGCGUUAAUCGGAAUUACUGGGCGUAAAGCGUGCGCAGGCGGUUGUGCAAGACCGAUGUGAAAUCCCCGAGCUUAACUUGGGAAUUGCAUUGGUGACUGCACGGCUAGAGUGUGUCAGAGGGGGGUAGAAUUCCACGUGUAGCAGUGAAAUGCGUAGAGAUGUGGAGGAAUACCGAUGGCGAAGGCAGCCCCCUGGGAUAACACUGACGCUCAUGCACGAAAGCGUGGGGAGCAAACAGGAUUAGAUACCCUGGUAGUCCACGCCCUAAACGAUGUCAACUAGUUGUUGGGGAUUCAUUUCCUUAGUAACGUAGCUAACGCGUGAAGUUGACCGCCUGGGGAGUACGGUCGCAAGAUAAACCGU